GAUGAGCGCUGGCGGCGUGCCUAAUACAUGCAAGUCGAGCGAACAGACGAGGAGCUUGCUCCUCUGACGUUAGCGGCGGACGGGCGAGUAACACGUGGAUAACCUACCUAUAAGACUGGGAUAACUUCGGGAAACCGGAGCUAAUACCGGAUAAUAUAUUGAACCGCAUGGUUCAAUAGUGAAAGACGGUUUUGCUGUCACUUAUAGAUGGAUCCGCGCCGCAUUAGCUAGUUGGUAAGGUAACGGCUUACCAAGGCGACGAUGCGUAGCCGACCUGAGAGGGUGGUCGGCCACACUGGAACUGAGACACGGUCCAGACUCCUACGGGAGGCAGCAGUAGGGAAUCUUCCGCAAUGGGCGAAAGCCUGACGGAGCAACGCCGCGUGAGUGAUGAAGGUCUUCGGAUCGUAAAACUCUGUUAUUAGGGAAGAACAAAUGUGUAAGUAACUAUGCACGUCUUGACGGUACCUAAUCAGAAAGCCACGGCUAACUACGUG
rnacentral:rRNA from 1 species